UAACAUUUUUAGCAAUAAGCUUGAAGUUUGAAGUUUUUAUGUAUUUUUUUUUAAAUGUAUUUUUAAGUAUUUAUGGCUGUACUUCACUAAACAAAUAUAAGAAAUGCAGAAUGCUGUGAAUAACGUGCUGCAAAGCUGUGAAGCCUAAUGGAGGAAGCAUUAUCUAAACUUACGUUUGGAUUCCCAGGUGGAGCGGUCCAGGUCCUUUCUGUGUGGAGUUUGCAUGUUCUCCCUGUGUCUGCGUGGGUUUCUUCCGGGAGUUUCGGUUUCCUCCCACAGUCCAAGGCCAUGCAAGUGAGGAUCGCUUUUCAGCUUUUCAAUGGGCUCAAGGCACACAGUACCACCCUGGACGGGGCGCCAGUCCAUCGCAGGGCGGAGAUAUACCUAUAGGGCAAUUCAGUGUCUCCAAUUAACCUGACGGCAUGUUUUUGGACUGUGGGGGGAAACCGGAGCUCCUGGAGGAAAACCACGCAGACACGAGGAGAACAUGUAAACUUCGCCCAGAAAGGACCUGGACUGGGGAUCGAACCCAGGACCUUCUUGCUGUGAGGCGACAGUGCUACUCUCUGUGCCGCCCAACCCUCUUGGCAAAGAAUUUUUGUUUUGUCUGACAUUUUAAACACACACCUUUGCUUCUUUUAUGUAAAUGAAAUGUGUAUAGGGUGUAGGAACAAAUAUUGUUUUCUGUGUAACUGUUGUUCCUGCUGUUUUCAGGUUAUUCUGCAACUCUUCUCAAAUGAACUGUAUUCUCUCU